GNAUUUAUUGGGCGUAAAGGGAGCGCAGGCGNUCAGGAAAGUCUGGAGUAAAAGGCUAUGGCUCNACCAUAGUGUGCUCUGGAAACUGUCUGACUNGAGUGCAGAAGGGGAGAGUGGAAUUCCAUGUGUAGCGGUGAAAUGCGUAGAUAUAUGGAGGAACACCAGUGGCGAAAGCGGCUCUCUGGUCUGUCACUGACGCUGAGGCUCGAAAGCGUGGGUAGCGAACAGGAUUAGAUACCCUGGUAGUNCACGCCGUAAACGAUGAGUGCUAGGUGUUAGGCCCUUUCCGGGGCUUAGUGCCGGAGCUAACGCAAUAAGCACUCCGCCUGGGGAGUACGACCGCAAGGUUGAAACUCAAAGGAAUUGACGGGGGCCCGCACAAGCGGUGGAGCACGUGGUUUAAUUCGAAGCAACGCGAAGAACCUUACCAGGUCUUGACAUCCCGAUGCUAUUCUUAGAGAUAGGAAGUUACUUCGGUACAUCGGAGACAGGUGGUGCAUGGUUGUCGUCAGCUCGUGUCGUGAGAUGUUGGGUUAAGNCNCGCAACGAGCGCAACCCUUAUUGUUAGUUGCCAUCAUUAAGUUGGGCACUCUAGCGAGACUGCCGGUAAUAAACCGGAGGAAGGUGGGGAUGACGUCAAAUCAUCAUGCCCCUUAUGACCUGGGCUACACACGUGCUACAAUGGUCGGUACAACGAGUUGCGAGCCGGUGACGGCAAGCUAAUCUCUGAAAGCCGAUCUCAGUUCGGAUUGGAGGCUGCAACUCGCCUCCAUGAAGUCGGAAUCGCUAGUAAUCGCGGAUCAGCACGCCGCGGUGAAUACGUUCCCGGGCCU
rnacentral:rRNA from 1 species